rnacentral:rRNA from 1 species
CCUACGGGUGGCAGCAGUGAGGAAUAUUGGUCAAUGGGCGCGAGCCUGAACCAGCCAAGUCGCGUGAGGGAAGACGGUCCUAUGGAUUGUAAACCUCUUUUGUCGGGGAGCAAAAGACGCCACGCGUGGCGUUCCGAGAGUACCCGAAGAAAAAGCAUCGGCUAACUCCGUGCCAGCAGCCGCGGUAAUACGGAGGAUGCGAGCGUUAUCCGGAUUUAUUGGGUUUAAAGGGUGCGCAGACGGAAGAUCAAGUCAGCGGUAAAAUUGAGAGGCUCAACCUCAUCGAGCCGUUGAAUCUGGUAGUCUUGAGUGAGCGAGAGGUAUGCGGAAUGCGUGGUGUAGCGGUGAAAUGCAUAGAUAUCACGCAGAACUCCGAUUGCGAAGGCAGCAUACCGGCGCUCAACUGACGCUCAUGCACGAAAGUGUGGGUAUCGAACAGGAUUAGAUACCCUUGUAGUC